rnacentral:lncRNA from 1 species
GUUUUAACUGGCUGGGGGACUGGUCAUGUCCUGUGCUGGCAGAUUAUCAUUGCUGGGGCUGCAGGAUUAUUAAAGGGCCAGGACUGUAAGGUUAUUUGAAGCCAGAGAACUCCUAUACAAAUUAAGUGGGCACAAAAUAUCCAGCUGAGAACCUGCGAGGAAUGUGAGUGCCCUGAGGUUCCAGCUCUUCCACAAGGCCAGUGGAAAGGUCAUUAAUACAAUCCACCGGCAGCAAACUGAAAGGCUGGGCCUGGCGCAAUGUACUCUGAUGGGAAUGAUCAGACAAAUGAACAGCAUAAAGUGUUAACA